GGCCCUCACUGCAAAGGAAGCUGGGAAAGUGAGUUUCUGAUUCCCAUACUAGAGAUGUGUGAGGAAGUUCUCUGUCCUCUGUCCUUCCUAGAGGAAGAUGUCCACAAAAUGCUGGGUAGGCAAAUACCAUGACAGAUGUCCCAUUCUGGCAGCAGGCUCCACUUUUAUUGGGAAGACCUGAAAUGUCAGCAUCUGGCAAUCAUUUAUCCCAGAAGAAGUUCUUGUCUCUGCCCCCUGCAGAACUGUCAUUGGCGGGGCCGGGACUCAGUGACUUGGUUCCCAGCCCUGCCCAGUCUUGGCUGUCCCAGCAAAUACCAGAGGAGGGUCACGUCCAAGAGUCCAAGAUAAGGAGGUAUUUUGAGUGGAUUUCAUGGAAGUUAUCAGGAGAGCACAGCUCAGGGUCUUUCUGGUGAUAUCAGAGGAUUAUCUUGCCACGUUUUUCUGUUUUUUCAGUUACAGAUUCAGCAUAUGUCAAAAUGAACAUGAGACACUCCUGAACUCAGUCUAUUUUCAGAGAAGAAAACUAUACCCAAUUGUGUACUGGUGGAACCGGAAAAAUGCAUAAGUGGCAGAAGUCAAAGAAGCGACAGAUCUCUAAGCAUUAGAGAUUCACCUACUGGAGCUGAAGAACAUGUUUUUUUGGGGGCCUUGCACUCCAAUGUGCUCUUGCAUGCAAAGUAUUGGGCUUUAAACAUUCAGGGGGGCUCUGCUUUACCUGUCUGAAUUAGACACAUAUGGCCCAGACAGAUAUGAUGGAUAUGCCAUUAUAAAAAUAUGCUUACUUGCAUAUUUGCCUCAAGAUCACUUUCUGAGAGCUACAUUACGUUUACUCCUUGCCACGAUUCUAAGAAGAUCGUCUCCCCACUUUACAGAUGAAAAGACUUAGGCUAAAUGAGGCUAAACCAUAUUUCCUUAAGGUCACAUACAGAGUGGCAGAGCUGGGACAGAAAACAACGUUUUUCUGAGGCCAAAGUGUAAGCUGGUGGCAUUAUACCAACCUCCUCUCUUAAAAAAAGAGAGGGAGCUAUAGAUUGUAAGCUUUGGAAAGAAACAUAGAAAACUUUUCAUUUUCCUAGAAUCCAAAGCCAGAAAGCUCAAGUUACCAGAAUGCUUUAUGCCUUUGUGAGGGCCAGAUAACAAGUGAAAAACUACAUCAGAGAUCUAUUAAAAAUAAAGUCCAGUGAGUUUAGGAGUCCA
rnacentral:lncRNA from 1 species